rnacentral:rRNA from 1 species
UAAGGAAUAUUGGUCAAUGGACGAAAGUCUGAACCAGCCAUGCCGCGUGGAGGAUGAAGGUCCUCUGGAUUGUAAACUUCUUUUAUCUGGGACGAAAAAGGUCUUUCUAGAUCGUCUGACGGUACCAGAUGAAUAAGCACCGGCUAACUCCGUGCCAGCAGCCGCGGUAAUACGGAGGGUGCAAGCGUUAUCCGGAUUCACUGGGUUUAAAGGGUGCGUAGGUGGGUUGGUAAGUCAGUGGUGAAAUCUUCGAGCUUAACUCGGAAACUGCCAUUGAUACUAUCAGUCUUGAAUAUUGUGGAGGUUAGCGGAAUAUGUCAUGUAGCGGUGAAAUGCUUAGAUAUGACAUAGAACACCAAUUGCGAAGGCAGCUGGCUACACAUAUAUUGACACUGAGGCACGAAAGCGU